GGUCUGGUGGUCUAGUGGUAUGAUUCGCGCUUAGGGCUUACCCUGAGUAAAAUGCGCGAGGUCCGUAAGUACUAUCAUUCAAUUCUGAAUCAGCACAUCAACAUAUUCUAACAUCAACAUAGCGGGUUCAAUCCCCGGCCAGACCC